rnacentral:rRNA from 1 species
GACGAACGCUGGCGGCGUGCUUAACACAUGCAAGUCGAACGAUGAACCCGGAGCUUGCUCUGGGGGAUUAGUGGCGAACGGGUGAGUAACACGUGAGUAACCUGCCCUGGACUCUGGGAUAAGCGUUGGAAACGACGUCUAAUACCGGAUAGGACCUUGGAUCGCAUGAUCUGGGGUGGAAAGUUUUUUCGGUCUGGGAUGGACUCGCGGCCUAUCAGCUUGUUGGUGAGGUAAUGGCUCACCAAGGCGUCGACGGGUAGCCGGCCUGAGAGGGUGACCGGCCACACUGGGACUGAGACACGGCCCAGACUCCUACGGGAGGCAGCAGUGGGGAAUAUUGCACAAUGGGCGAAAGCCUGAUGCAGCAACGCCGCGUGCGGGAUGACGGCCUUCGGGUUGUAAACCGCCUUUAGUAGGGAAGAAGGGCUUCGGCUUGACGGUACCUGCAGAAAAAGGACCGGCUAACUACGUG